ACAGAGCCCGUGAAUCCGGGCGUGUGGAAUUCAGGACCGACGGGCGGACCUUCGGGUUCGUUCGUCGAUUCGAUAUUUCCGCCGUCGACCCUCAACCGAGGGUGUCGGACGUCGCGACCCGUUCGCCGAAGCCGAUGCUGAGGGGUGCGUUUCAAGUUCGCCUGCGCGGCCGUUUCGGCGGUCGUGCGACGAUGACGCGCUUCCGCUGCCCAUCGGUGCGGACGGUAGCUUUGCGCGCGGGUAUUCGAUGCAGCCCUUGCCCGUCGUCUCGUACGUCGGGCGGUGCUCGCAUCGACGCCGGUCAGCGACGAAUCUUCGGGCCUCUUUCCGACCCGUCUUGAAACACGGACCAAGGAGUCUAGCGUGCGCGCGAGUCGCGGGGUAUCCGAGUCGUUGUAGUCGUUUCGGCGGCGAACGCGACUCGUCACGAUACGAAACCCGUGUACGUACGUUGUGCGAAGGCGUAAUGAAAGUGAAAGGUGGCGCUUCGCGCGUCACCGGGGGAAGACGGUGUUCCGAGUUCACGUUUCGCAAACAUAUGUGUUUUGCGGCCGGACACCCGCAUUCCCAGGGCGUCCCUCUCGUACGUCGGUGGUCGGAGUUCGCGCUUCGAUCGUCGACGAACUGGGGCGCACCUACAGCGUGCACGCUGGUACCCGAAAGAUGGUGAACUAUGCCCGGCCAGGAU
rnacentral:rRNA from 1 species